GUUCCUUGUGGCCACAUUUCCAGUACCCAGUAGUCAUCUGUGCCAGGGGGUUAUCCAGGUACAGAACAUUCCCAUCGUUGCAGAAGGUUCUAUCAGCUAGCACUGGGUUGGACGACACUUGCCAAGACGAGCUGGCUAGAGGAUGGUUCUCCGGACCUGGUCCCACGUGGUUCCCAGGUUCCAGCCCCGGAGAGCAAUGUGAGCAAAGCUUGCUGUCUUUGCAAAGCCAACCACUGUGGCAUCAACUCCUUCAGGAAGCCCUCCCGGAUUGUCCAAGGUGCUCACCUCCUUUGGGGAGCCCUCCCAGAUUGUCCAAGGUGCUUGAGG
rnacentral:lncRNA from 1 species